rnacentral:rRNA from 1 species
CCUACGGGUGGCAGCAGUGGGGAAUAUUGGACAAUGGGGGGAACCCUGAUCCAGCCAUGCCGCGUGUGUGAAGAAGGCCCUCGGGUUGUAAAGCACUUUCAGUGAGGAAGAACGCCUGGUGGUUAAUACCCAUCAGGAAAGACAUCACUCACAGAAGAAGCACCGGCUAACUCCGUGCCAGCAGCCGCGGUAAUACGGAGGGUGCGAGCGUUAAUCGGAAUUACUGGGCGUAAAGCGCGCGUAGGUGGCUUGAUAAGCCGGUUGUGAAAGCCCCGGGCUCAACCUGGGAACGGCAUCCGGAACUGUCAAGCUAGAGUGCAGGAGAGGAAGGUAGAAUUCCCGGUGUAGCGGUGAAAUGCGUAGAGAUCGGGAGGAAUACCAGUGGCGAAGGCGGCCUUCUGGACUGACACUGACACUGAGGUGCGAAAGCGUGGGUAGCAACCAGGAUUAGAUCCCCUAGUAGUC